GUUAUCUAUUAAUUAUUUUGAUAUGUAUCCCAUUCAUAAUUGGAUUGUUUUAUUUAUAUCUGCUACACAGUCUAAAUCUAGAAAUUCAUGUUGUCCAGUUAUUGGUUUAGGUGUCCAUUUUUUAUUUAAUCUUUUAUCCCAUAUAGUUUUUUCUCUAUCAUAUUGUCCAUAGUUUUCAUUAUAGUAUUUUGGAUUAAAAAUUUAUGGGUUUUUUAC
rnacentral:lncRNA from 1 species